GGGAGUACGCACGCAAGUGUGAAACUCAAAGGAAUUGACGGGGGCCCGCACAAGCGGUGGAGUAUGUGGUUUAAUUCGAUGCAACGCGAAGAACCUUACCAGGGUUUGACAUCCUCGGAACAUUUUGGAAACAGAAUGGUGCCUUCGGGAACCGAGAGACAGGUGGUGCAUGGCUGUCGUCAGCUCGUGUCGUGAGAUGUUGGGUUAAGUCCCGCAACGAGCGCAACCCACGUUUUUAGUUGCCAGCAUUAAGUUGGGCACUCUAGAGAGACUGCCGGUGACAAACCGGAGGAAGGUGUGGAUGACGUCAAGUCAGCAUGCCCCUUACAUCCUGGGCUACACACGUACUACAAUGCUACGGACAGAGGGCAGCGAGCCAGCAAUGGUCGGCAAAUCCCGUAAACCGUGGCUCAGUUCAGAUUGCAGGCUGCAACUCGCCUGCAUGAAGGCGGAAUCGCUAGUAAUCGCAGGUCAGCAUACUGCGGUGAAUACGUUCCCGGGCCUUGUACACACCGCCCGUCACACCAUGGGAGUUGGUCACGCCCGAAGUGGUUACCCUAACCUUUUGGAGGGGGACCCCUAAGGCAGGGCUGAUGACUGGGGUGAAGUCGUAACAAGGUAACCGUA
rnacentral:rRNA from 1 species